UUUUACCAAUAGUGGAGAAGAGUACCAGCUCCAAUGAUACUACUUGUAGAGAGAGUACCGGAUCCUUUUAAUACUACUAUUAGGGAGAGUACAGGGUCCUUUUUAUACUACUGGUAGAGAGAGUACCGUAUCCUUUUUAUACUACUGGUAGAGAGAGUGCCGGGACCUUUUUAUACUACUGGUGGAGAGAGUACCGGGUCCUUUUUAUACUACUGGUAGAGAGAGUACUGGGAUCUUUUUAUACUACUGGUAGAGAGAGUACCAGGUCCUUUUUAUACUACUGGUAGAGAGAGUACCAGGUCCUUUUUAUACUACGGACAGGGAGAGUACCGGGUCCUUUUUAUACUACGGAUAGGGAGAGUGCCAGGUCUUUUUAUACUACUGGUAGAGAGAGUACGGAGCUCUUUUUAUGUUUUCUGUCAGAGCACGGAU